UCGAGCGCAUGAAAUUAUUUGAUUCUCUUCGGAGUUGACGAUAAUGGAAUGAGCGGCGGACGGGUGAGUAACACGUAGGCAACCUGCCUGUAAGACUGGGAUAACUCGUGGAAACGCGAGCUAAUACCGGAUAACACUUUUCAUCUCCUGAUGAGAAGUUGAAAGGCGGCUUUUGCUGUCACUUACAGAUGGGCCUGCGGCGCAUUAGCUAGUUGGUAAGGUAACGGCUUACCAAGGCGACGAUGCGUAGCCGACCUGAGAGGGUGGUCGGCCACACUGGGACUGAGACACGGCCCAGACUCCUACGGGAGGCAGCAGUAGGGAAUCUUCCGCAAUGGACGAAAGUCUGACGGAGCAACGCCGCGUGAGUGAUGAAGGUUUUCGGAUCGUAAAACUCUGUUGUUAGGGAAGAACAAGUACUAUAGUAACUGAUAGUACCUUGACGGUACCUAACCAGAAAGCCACGGCUAACUACGUGCCAGCAGCCGCGGUAAUACGUAGGUGGCAAGCGUUGUCCGGAAUUAUUGGGCGUAAAGCGCUCGCAGGCGGUUCUUUAAGUCUGAUGUGAAAUCUUACGGCUCAACCGUAAACGUGCGUUGGAA
rnacentral:rRNA from 1 species